GCCUCUGUGGCAGAGCGAAAGCCAGCACAACCCGCGACACCAUCGCCAACACACCAGCUCCUCUCUCACCAUCGCAACCAAACUCACCACCACCACCUGCAGUAGCAGCUCCACCGAACCAGCGCUUGUCGCACCAACCCAGCCAAACCAAUAGCCCUUGAAGCGCUGAAGCGCCAAAACUCAACGAUGAACUUCAAAAUCCUGCUAAUCGUGAUGCUUGUGGUGCUCGGGACAGUGACAGUGAUGGGGAAACCGUUUCCCCGUCAAAGACAAUUUCCAGGCCAGAGACUGAGAGGCGCCACCAACUACGGCACCCACUCCUUUGGACGCAACGGUUUCGACAGCAGACCUGUCUCCAGAUUUCAUAAACGCGAGCGGGACCCACAUUUCUAAAAGAAGCCACCCUCCACCCAUCUCUCCCAAACAAUCGUCGGUUUGCCUGAGUGUUCCUCCUGCUCCUUACUUUGCGGAAUUGAUCCAGCCAUGUGUACUGUGCCCAGGCAUCGGAAGGUGUAGCUGGAAAUAUGUACAGCACUCUUAAGUCAACCAUAUAUGUUGCGAGUGGUGUAUUUGGCCUCGCUGUCCUGCUACACAUAGCUAUGUCUAGGACUCCUACACUGUGUUUCCAUAUAUCUAUUUUUCCCCGAGUCACUGGCUGUCAUUGUGUACUGACUAGAAGCAUUGUAUAUUCUUCUCUUUCUUCCUGAGUGUUGUGACAUACGGGAGUGUCGGUUGUCUUCAUGGAAAGAUGCAUUUCGUCUGUGUUAUCGUGUUUUUAUGGACAGGAAAGCCCUGUAAUGUGCACGCAUACAUCCCAAGUAUUUAUACUUCCAUUAAAUGAGAUGCCCCACUACUGUAUGUUAGAAUGUGUACAAAAUAUUGUAGCUUUUUCUAUUCAUUACUCCUAUCAAAGUGUUGUAAUAUAGCAUAAUUUAUAUUAUAUUUUUGUACUGAAUUAAACAUUAUGAAGAUAUCA